rnacentral:lncRNA from 1 species
AAAUAAAGACAAAGAACAAGAGCUAGUCCUGAAACAGUUUAAGAGAAAAGUAGACACUCCAUCCAUCAGUAGCUUUUCCUGGAUAGGCUCAUCUUUCUUUAACAAGUUGACACAUUUGCAAACUGCAGGCUGAAAUUUUAAACGUCUAAGCUGCUUUUCCUUCUUCUAAUAGAAAAGGUACAAAAAAUGGUUUUUGCUUCCUUUACUGCUGUGCCUUAAUAAACAUUUGGCUCAAGGUUUUAACCAAGCCAAAUGUUGACUAAAAGCCUCCUCAUAAAAGGCUUUAAUACAUUUUUGCUUGUGUUUUCUUUACAUGUAUUUCAAUUUGAUGACAAAUAAUUUCUUCCCCAUUUCCCUCAUUUGCUGCUGCAUGUUGGACUAAUUAAAAAGCAGGCUCUUUGGAAGCUGGAAUGAGAGAAAAUGGAAGAGUGGGCAGGUAGAAACAAAUGUAAAAACCCAAUGAUUCCCCCAUUCUAUGCAGAAUACAAGAGAAAGUGUCAUUGCCUUGGAAGGUAACCCCUUCUUGACCCUAGCAUUUAAAAGCUAGGUUGGUGCAUGUCCAACAUCAGGGUCACAGCCAUUUUUCUGCUACUCAGUUCAUCUUGGAACUGAAAGAUAGUUUCUUCCCGCCAUCAAUCAUUACCCAAGUAACAGUAUGGAAGCUGUGAUUUCUGAGCAAUAAUAGAAGAAUACUUCAGCCUCUCAGCCAUUACAGUAAGCAGAGAAUGCAAGAGAAUGCAUGAGUUCUUUUGUGGAAAUUGGCAGAUAAUGGCAGCUUUUCUGAAAUCUCCCACUUUUUUAAAUUGGCAAUCCGAUAAAACCUUUAAAUUUGGGGAGUGGGAGGAGGAAAUGUUUCAAUAACCACAUAUUAAAAAUAACUUGCUAAAGAAAGGCCUUGAGGCUCUCGGAUAUACUAAGAACAAACAAUCAAAUGUAUCCUGUACCUGGGAAGACAAAAGCCUCACAAUCACGAUGUUAAAAGGCAAGAACCUUGGGCUCCAGAGGUUAAAGGGUAGCAUCCUGAUGCCAUAAUUAGGCAACUGGAUGCAUAGCAAGAAGAGUUCUGGAGGGGCAAUUAGAAUUGUCACCAGAUCCAUCCUGGAUACAUCACUAAGUGUCUCUAAGCCUUAGUUUUCUGUCUUUGGAACACUUGGUUUGGCUCAGUGCUCUAUUAGGCCUAGCCUGGAAUUCAAGAUUCUAAACUCUCAGCAGGAAUUUUACCUACAAAGAAAUAUAAAACUAGACUCCACAUUUUUGAGUCCUAAUUCAGAGACAAUGUUGAUAAUUUUUAUAUCAUUGUAUGUCACAAAUCUGUAGAUGUCAAAAAUUCUUACAAAUCCUUAUGAUUAUGGAUUUUCUGACAGUACAGUAGAAAUCGACCAAGGGCACUGGGUUCAUUGAGGAUAUUUUAUUAAUGAGACUUACUUUUUGAUUAAAAAGUAUGUAUUAAUAUUGAUUUCAACAUACCUCCAUUAUGCAAUGUGACUGAAAACAGAAAAUACUAGUCACAAAGUGAAAUGUAAUUCUAUUUCUUUUAAAUACUUCUGCACCUAUCCAUUUAAAAAUAUUUGGAUGAACCACAAAAAAUGUCUAUUAUGCAUCAAUUUUUUACCUAAGCAAACCUGCAAUUUUAUACGUUUUAAACUGAAUGAACUUGUUUGUAUGUGUGUAUAACAUGAAUUAAAAUGCUAGGUAAUUCCAAUAAUCAACAGGAUAUCCUGCAUUAUCAGACCUUACUAAAUAAAACAAGCUUUUAUCGGCUACUUACUCUAUUGCAUUGGUCUUAACUCUAUUCCAUAAUGGCACAGUUUAAAUCAAUGUUUUAUUUUUAUAUUAUCAUUUUCCUAAAUGCACAUAGCAGGAGGGGAAUUUUAACAUUGUCUUCAUUAUUUUAUAGGAAGUAUCACAGAUUAUGUAAGUAUCUUGUCCAAUGGGGAUAAUAUGAAGAUAGGCUAAAGUCUUUUGGGGCUUAAAAACUUAGUACAUCAAAAGGAAAUAUGUGGAGUUAUUCAGGCAUAUGUCUUUUAUUGUCAUUGAAACAUAAUAGAAUUUGGUUACCUUUAUGGUUAUUCAAAUGCUGAAAAAAUUAUCUGUGAUUUAAAAAAAUCAACUGGCAGCAUAAGCACUGUCAUCAGUUGAUGCUGAUUUCUCUAAGCUCCUUAGCCUUUAUAUCACUUCUACUCGUACAAGGGAUGCUUUGUAUAUUUCUCAGGCAAGUUUCUCAUUUUAUUUUGUUUUGUUUUUAAAUUCUAAGUAGCUUUAAAAAUUGUGCUAUUGUUCCAUCUAUUCUUCUUUCCAAUUUUGUUAGGCAUUUAGUGACAGUGGGCUUUGGUGGAAACUUAUCCAUUGCUCAGACCAGGGACAUGAGUCUUGAUUAGCCAAGACAUUCCUGGUAGAACCCUUCUAAUGCCUGUGACUGGCUCAGAAAAGGGCCAAUGACACUGGAGGAAAACUGCUGGGGAACUUAUGGGAAAGGUUCUCAUUUGAAACAUACACCCACCCAGCAUCCUAGUUUAUCUAAGGAUGCAGUUAUAUGAGGAUGCAAUGAAUGAAACUACUGCACCCAUUUUGUGAUCACAGUGCGACAUAACUAAGGGCAAAAGCCAAUAUGCUGAAGAUGGCAGAGUGAAGAUGUCCAGGUUCUAAAGAACCUGGAGUUGUCAAACUACCUGAGCUUUGGAUUUUUUGUUGUGUGACCUAAUAAACUGGUGUAUUUUCUCCUUAAAGAGAAAGAUCACAUUUCUGUAUGUGUGUUUGACUGUGUGAAUAUGUGUGCCUGUGUACGUAUAUAAAAUGGUCAAUAAAAUGUUAAUGCUGAUUUUUUAAAUGAGUUUUUUUCCAGUAUUUCUUUACUGGCAGAAUUAAAGUUGGUUAUAAUCUCCCCCACUUUUUAUGCAUGUUCCUAUAUUUAGUGUAGGAGAGUUAAAAGGACAAGGAGGAAGGAUGAGGCAAAAAGAUGGAAUAAAA